CCCUACGGGGCGCAGCAGUGGGGAAUAUUGCACAAUGGGGGGAACCCUGAUGCAGCGACGCCGCGUGAGUGAAGAAGUAUUUCGGUAUGUAAAGCUCUAUCAGCAGGGAAGAAGAUGACGGUACCUGACUAAGAAGCCCCGGCUAACUACGUGCCAGCAGCCGCGGUCAUACGUAGGGGGCAAGCGUUAUCCGGAUUUACUGGGGGUAAAGGGAGCGUAGACGGCAGGGCAAGUCUGGAGUGAAAGCCCGGGGCCCAACACCGGGACUGCUUUGCAGACUGCCCUGCGAGAGGGCUGGAGCGGAG
rnacentral:rRNA from 1 species